GACGAACGCUGGCGGCGUGCUUAACACAUGCAAGUCGAGCGGAAAGGCCACUUCGGUGGUACUCGAGCGGCGAACGGGUGAGUAACACGUGAGUAAUCUGCCCCUGGCUUUGGGAUAGCCACCGGAAACGGUGAUUAAUACCGGAUAUGACCACGUCUCGCAUGGGGUGGGGUGGAAAGUUUUUCGGCCAGGGAUGUGCUCGCGGCCUAUCGGCUUGAUGGUGAGGUAAUGGUCCACCAUGGCUUCGACGGGUAGCUGGCCUGCCAGGGUGAGCGGUAGCACUGGGACUGAGACACGGCCCAGACUCCUACGGGAGGCAUCAGGGGGGAAUAUUGGACAAUGGGCGGAAGCCUGAUCCAGCAACGCCGCGUGAGGGAUGACGGUCUUCGGGUUGUAAACCUCUUUCAGUACCGACGAAGCGCAAGUGACGGUAGGUACAGAAGAAGCACCGGCCAACUACGUGCCAGCAGCCGCCGCGGUAA
rnacentral:rRNA from 1 species